AGACUCCUGGAAGAUGACCAGGUGAUAGGCAGCAGGUGUAAGCACAGUAAUGUGUUUAGCUGAGCUGUACUAAUAAGUCGUGCGACUUCCCUUG
rnacentral:rRNA from 1 species